UACGGAGGGUGCAGACGUUGCUCGGAAUCAUUGGGCGUAAAGCGCACGUAGGCGGCGUGAUAAGUUGGGUGUGAAAGCCCUGGGCUCAACCCAGGAAGUGCAUUCAAAACUGUCACGCUUGAAUCUCGGAGGGGGUCAGAGAAUUCCCGGUGUAGAGGUGAAAUUCGUAGAUAUCGGGAGGAAUACCAGUGGCGAAGGCGCUGACCUGGACGAAGAUUGACGCUGAGGUGCGAAAGCGCGGGGAGCAAACAGG
rnacentral:rRNA from 1 species